UACGAAGGGGGCUAGCGUUGUUCGGAAUUACUGGGCGUAAAGCGCACGUAGGCGGAUCGAUCAGUCAGGGGUGAAAUCCCAGGGCUCAACCCUGGAACUGCCUUUGAUACUGUCGAUCUGGAGUAUGGAAGAGGUGAGUGGAAUUCCGAGUGUAGAGGUGAAAUUCGUAGAUAUUCGGAGGAACACCAGUGGCGAAGGCGGCUCACUGGUCCAUUACUGACGCUGAGGUGCGAAAGCGUGGGGGGCAAACAGG
rnacentral:rRNA from 1 species